UGUCUAGGGGUUCAAACCUAAAGAACCCAAAUAUCUAAACGAAGAGAUUCAAUACUCUCCCCUUAAAAGGAGAGUGUGCACUUCUCUUUUAGUAAGACGUUGUGAUCCAUUAGAAAUUGAUUGUCCCCUCUGGUUUGGCAAUCAUUGGGCUACCAAUAGUCUGAUAUUGAAGUUCAUAAUGACAAACAAUGCAGUCAUUUCUAACGAUUGUGUAUAUUGUCUUGUGAGCAUGUCAUGUACUGGUGUAGCCGUCUGAUGGAUUUUAAAGAUUGCAACAUUAAUAUUCUUGUAAUAUUAUGACAGUCAUGCUGUCGAUAGCGUUGUAUAUCCGAUCAACAACGGUUACAUUUGGGAUACCUUUGGGACCCGUCUUGAAACACGGACCAAGGAGUCUAUCUAGUGUGCAAGUAAAUGAGAAUUUGAAAACUUAUUUGCGUAAAUAACUUGACUGUUUUUAAUGGGAUUACGAGUGCACCGCCAUCAUACGGACACUUCUCCAUCCCGGGGUAUUUUCACAACAUAUAGUYUACUUCGGUGUUCUAUAUAGAAAAUAUACCAUGAGCAUACUGGAUAUGACCCGAAAGAUGGUGAACUAUGCCUGAUCAGGUUGAAGUCAGGGGAAACCCUGAUGGAGGACCGAAGCAAUUCUGACGUGCAAAUCSAUUGUCAGAAUUGRGCAUAGGGGCGAAAGACCAAUCGAACCAUC
rnacentral:rRNA from 1 species